UCCCUGGUAGUCCAGUGGCUAAGACUCUACACUUCCAAUUCAGGGGGCCUGGGUUCGAUUCCUCAUCAGGGAA
rnacentral:tRNA from 1 species